rnacentral:sRNA from 1 species
UCUGGCCUUGCUGCAGGUUUUCCAGCUUGCAGCUCAUCUGGUGUACUGGGGCAAGGCCAUCAUCAUCUACCCGCUGUGUGAGAACAACGUCUACAUGCUGUCUCCCAAUGCCAGCGUAUGUCUGUGAGUGCUGCUGGCUGCCACAGCCUGGAGCCCUGAGUGGGAAGGGGUGAGGCUGGCAGGGCCCUCCAGAUGCUGUUCUCUGUGUUGGCCAGGCACCAAAGGCUGUGGAAGCCCCAAGGCCAGGCUCUCACUUCAGCCUAACUCCUGGCCACUAGCGUGCCCAGGUCCCAAUUCUGGUCUGGCUCUGUGCUCUGUGGCUCUCCUGUGUCCCCCAUAUGCCUGGCCCCCUCCUCCAGGCUGGCUCUCCUAAUCCACCUUGAGGGAUCAGAGGUGAGAUGCAGGGUGAACUGUGCCCAUGGCUCCUGCUGCUGCUCAAGGGGAAGUGCCCAGGCUCUGUCCACCUGGAGGCCUGCCUGGCCUCAUACCGUUCUGCCCUCAUUGCACUGUCCUACCUACCAUACUUUGCUUCUCUGCUGUCCACUG